GACGAACGCUGGCGGCGUGCUUAACACAUGCAAGUCGAACGGAAAGGCCCUGCUUUUGUGGGGUGCUCGAAUGGCGAACGGGUGAGUAACACGUGAGUAACCUGCCCUUGACUUUGGGAUAACUUCAGGAAACUGGGGCUAAUACCGGAUAGGAGCUCCUGCUGCAUGGUGGGGGUUGGAAAGUUUCGGCGGUUGGGGAUGGACUCGCGGCUUAUCAGCUUGUUGGUGGGGUAGUGGCUUACCACGGCUUUGACGGGUAGCCGGCCUGAGAGGGUGACCGGCCACAUUGGGACUGAGAUACGGCCCAGACUCCUACGGGAGGCAGCAGUGGGGAAUAUUGCACAAUGGGCGGAAGCCUGAUGCAGCAACGCCGCGUGCGGGAUGACGGCCUUCGGGUUGGAAACCGAUUUCGCCUGUGACGAAGCGUGAGUGACGGUAAUGGGUAAAGAAGCACCGGCUAACUACGUG
rnacentral:rRNA from 1 species